rnacentral:rRNA from 1 species
UACGUAGGGCGCAAGCGUUGUCCGGAAUUAUUGGGCGUAAAGAGCUCGUAGGCGGCUUGUCACGUCGGGUGUGAAAGCCCGGGGCUUAACCCCGGGUCUGCAUUCGAUACGGGCUAGCUAGAGUGUGGUAGGGGAGAUCGGAAUUCCUGGUGUAGCGGUGAAAUGCGCAGAUAUCAGGAGGAACACCGGUGGCGAAGGCGGCAUCCUGGACCAAUACUGACACUGAGGAGCGAAAGCCAGGGGAGCAAACGGG